rnacentral:rRNA from 1 species
CAACUUUCAACAACGGAUCUCAUUGGCUCACGCAUCGAUGAAGAA